AUGGCGUCCCGGGAGAUCGACCUCGCCAAGCUCGACAUCCACCACCGGGAAUCGCCCGGAUCCUUCGGCAGCUUCUGCAGCGCCACCUACAAUGGCAGACAGGUCCUAGCUAAAGUAUUGGAGUGGGGAGAAGAUGGCUUUAUGACAGAGGCUGAAAUUUCUACUCAGAGCGAAGCAUUCAGGAAGGAGGUUGCUGUCUGGAAGGAGCUCAAACACCGAAGUGUUGCAAGGUUCAUCGGUGCAUCAAUGGAUACCACUGACCGUAGCAUUCCGGCCGAUAGCGGCGAGAGCAGUGCACCCAGAGAUCUGCCAGAGAGAGCCUGUUGUGUUGUCUUUGAAUAUCUCUAUUUAGGAUCACUGAGACGAUAUCUAUAUGCUCACAGGGCGAGAAAGAUCGGAUACAAAAUUGUGGUUGAGUUUGCGUUGGAUUUGGCCAAUGGACUGAGCUAUCUUCACUCGAAAAAUAUCGUGCAUCGGAAUGUCAAACCUGAGAGCAUGCUUCUUGGCACAGAGGAGGCGGUCGUUAAGAUUGCCGACUUUGGCUUCGCCUGUGUGCAGGCUAAGAAUCCGGAGGACAUGACAGGCGCACUCGGUUACAUGGCCCCAGAGGUUAUUGAGGGCAAGCCAUACGACAGGAAGUCCGAUGUUUACAGCUUUGGGAUAUGCUUGUGGGGGAUCUACUGCUGUGACAUGCCGUACUAUCCAGACAUGAGCUCGGUAGAGGUCUCGUUUGCUGUUGUUCACAAUAAUCUGCGACCCAAGAUCCCACGCUGCUGCCUGACCCGGUUGGCGAACAUCAUGAAGAGAUGCUGGGAUGCUGACCCUGAUAAGCGGCCCGAGAUGAAGGAGGUGGUGCAUCUACUGGAGGAUCUUGACACGACCAAGGGUGGGGGCAUGAUCCCGGAAGGGACGAACCCCGGGUGCUUCUGCUUUUUCAGACCCCGGCGUGUAGGUCCAUAG
rnacentral:rRNA from 1 species